GAUGAACGCUGGCGGCGUGCCUAAUACAUGCAAGUCGAGCGAACAGACGAGGAGCUUGCUCCUCUGACGUUAGCGGCGGACGGGUGAGUAACACGUGGAUAACCUACCUAUAAGACUGGGAUAACUUCGGGAAACCGGAGCUAAUACCGGAUAAUAUAUUGAACCGCAUGGUUCAAUAGUGAAAGACGGUUUUGCUGUCACUUAUAGAUGGAUCCGCGCCGCAUUAGCUAGUUGGUAAGGUAACGGCUUACCAAGGCAACGAUGCGUAGCCGACCUGAGAGGGUGAGCGGCCACAAUGGAACGGAGACACGGACCAGACUCCUGCGGGAGGCAGCAGUAGGGAAUCUUACGCAAUGGGCGAAAGCCUGACGGAGCAACGCCGCGUGAGUGAUGAAGGUCUUCGGAUCGUAAAACUCUGUUAUUAGGGAAGAACAAAUGUGUAAGUAACUAUGCACGUCUUGACGGGACCUAAUCAGAAAGCCACGGCUAACUACGUG
rnacentral:rRNA from 1 species